UCCUCCAUGGAGUGCUGGGUGCUAUGUUGUGAAAAGAUUUUGAAAACACUUGGCUGCCCUAACAGCGUGAGCAAAGCACUUUUUUUCUUCCAAAAAGGUAGACAGCAGCAGGUGUCCUCCGAGGCCCCCUGGGGCCGGCCACAGCUCUCCAGGCCCCAGGAGGCUGAGCCGCCCCAGGCGGGCCCCCGAGCCCUGGGCCAGGGCCACAAUGCAGCCGUCUGCAGCGGGCGCCUCAGCCAGAGCCUCUGGGUGCCCCACACCUCCGUCGGGGUGGGGGGAGGCCAGGCCCCCACAGGGACACUCGGGUCCCACACCCCAGGCUGCGUCGGGGACCCUCUGAAGAGGCCCAGGAGGAAGAGGAAGUCCACGAAGACGCCCUCGAGGACGUGCGGGAGGAGGAGGAGGAAGGUGAGAGCCCGCUGUCCCCGUAGCGGCCGGCCGGCUCUGCCCCCUGCUCUGCGGCCUGGCCUCGCCGCUUCGCCCGCGUGCGCCUUGGCCCCCCCGCCCCCUUCCCUCGUCUUUCCUGUGUUCCUUGCCCCUCUGUGUCUCCACCCCAAGCCCCUCUCCUGUGACCCUGGAGUGAGACAAGACCCUCUUGUUUCUCGAGGCCCCGGAGGGAAAGGGUGGGCUCAGCUGAAGAGGCAGGCGGCCCCGCGGGUGGGAACCCAGUAGGCCCCCACCUGCAGCCCCCCGCCCGUCUCUCACCUGCUCUCUCUCUCCCCCUCCCCAUGCCGCAUCGUUGGGGUCUCCAGAAGAGAAGCCAAGACCCAAGUGAGUACCAGCGUGGCCCAGGGCUGGGGUGCGAGGGGAGAAGCCCAGGUGUACAGGACGGGUGAUGCUGAGGUGGCCCAGAACACUGACUGGGGAGGCCCAGGGCAAGCCAGGAGGGCUUCCUGCAAGAGGAGGCUACAGCCAAAGCGAGGAGGGGUCCAGCAGGGUGGGUGUCAGCGGGAGGAAGGAAGAGGCGGGAGCAGAGGAGAGGUCGGAGGUGUUGCCUCUCUGGACCCCACUCCGUGAGCCCCAGUACUGGUGGUAGGGGUGGGGGUCUCCCAGGGCUCUGAGUGUGCAAGUGAACAUGGAAGGAGCUGCCUGGGUGGGGUGGGGGCUCUUGGGGGGGCCCCUGAGCCCCUUCUCGGGGGUCUCUCAGAGAUGGAUUUUGGAACGCAGCUUCCCCUGGUGCCGGUUGUGGGAAGGACCUGGGGGCCCCGGCUGGUGCGCCCCAGGGGCUCCUGGGAGAGCGGCUGCCGUGUUUGCACUUUACAGAACGUGGGGCCGGCUCCCAAGAUAUUUUCUCAUUUUAGAAAAAUUGUUUGUGUUUUCAUUAUGAAAAUAAAACACCUCAUUAAGGGAAAUUUGGAAAAUAC
rnacentral:lncRNA from 1 species